GAUGUGACAACAUCCGGAAUGACCAGAAACCAAACCAGCCGUGAAGUUUCCCAAAACCGAAGAGAGGAGGAGGCAAUGGGAACUCGCCCUAAGAAGGGACGGUUUUGUUUCCUGUGACAGGACACUGCUCUGCAGUGAGCACUUCAGGAGUGAGGAAUUUGACCGGACAGGGCAGACUGUCCGGCUUAAAGAUGGUGUUGUGCCAACAAUAUUCAUCUUCCCAGCUCAUCUUCAAAGGGGCAGCAGAGUGGGUAAUUCGCCAGGCAUCAGCAGAUUCUAGACGAUCACAGCCCAUCAAACUGCUAGAGGUCCUCUACAUUGUGCGGAAGAGGAUAGGUCCAGAGGAUGUGUUUUUGUUCGGGGAGCACAUUGUCGACACACAGUAUGGCAUUGACAGUCACCACCAUACGCUGUUGACAUUAGUUGUGUCCCUGUUUUUUAAGCUAAGGCUGCAUCACAUUGCAAAAACAACUACUCUGAGCUUACAGAGUGGCAGCAUGAGACAGAAGCUCACAAAAACAGUCCUUUUCAAAGGGCAUUAGCUCCAACUGUGUGUGCACAUGUGUUACGUGCCGUAGUGGGUGCUUGUGUGUCUCCCUCUCUUUCCCCCUGAUGUUUCUUCUUCU